ACAUCCAAGGAAGGCAGCAGGCGCGUAAAUUACCCAAUCCUGACACAGGGAGGUAGUGCAAUAAAUAACAAUGCCGGGCCUUUACAGGUCUGGCAAUUGGAAUGAGAACAAUUUAAAUCCCUUAUCGAGUAUCAAUUGGAGGGCAAGUCUGGUGCCAGCAGCCGCGGUAAUUCCAGCUCCAAUAGCGUAUAUUAAAGUUGUUGCAGUUAAAAAGCUCGUAGUUGGAUUUCUGGCAGGAGGGACCGGUCACGCACUCUGUGUGUGAACUUGGCUCCCUCUGGCCAUCCUUGGGGAGAUCGUGUUUGGCAUUAAGUUGUCGGGCAUGGGAUACCCAUCGUUUACUGUGAAAAAAUUAGAGUGUUUAAAGCAGGCUUAUGCCGUUGAAUAUAUUAGCAUGGAAUAAUAAGAUAGGACUUCGGAACUAUUUUGUUGGUUUGCGUUACGAAGUAAUGAUUAAUAGGGACAGUUGGGGGUAUUCGUAUUUCGUUGUCAGAGGUGAAAUUCUUGGAUUUCCGAAAGACGAACUACUGCGAAAGCAUUUACCAAGGAUGUUUUCAUUAAUCAAGAACGAAAGUUAGGGGAUCGA
rnacentral:rRNA from 1 species